GAUGAACGCUGGCGGCGCGCCUAACACAUGCAAGUCGAACGGCACCUAUCUUCGGAUAGAAGCGAGUGGCGAACGGCUGAGUAACACGUGGAGAACCUGCCCCCUCCCCCGGGAUAGCCGCCCGAAAGGACGGGUAAUACCGGAUACCCCGGGGUGCCGCAUGGCACCCCGGCUAAAGCCCCGACGGGAGGGGAUGGCUCCGCGGCCCAUCAGGUAGACGGCGGGGUGACGGCCCACCGUGCCGACAACGGGUAGCCGGGUUGAGAGACCGACCGGCCAGAUUGGGACUGAGACACGGCCCAGACUCCUACGGGAGGCAGCAGUGGGGAAUCUUGCGCAAUGGGGGGAACCCUGACGCAGCGACGCCGCGUGCGGGACGGAGGCCUUCGGGUCGUAAACCGCUUUCAGCAGGGAAGAGUCAAGACUGUAC
rnacentral:rRNA from 1 species